rnacentral:rRNA from 1 species
UACGGGGGGGGCAAGCGUUGUUCGGAAUUACUGGGCGUAAAGGGCUCGUAGGCGGCCAACUAAGUCGGAUGUGAAAUCCCCAGGCUUAACCUGGGAACUACAUCCGAUACUGGAUGGCUUGAAUCCGGGAGAGGGAUGCGGAAUUCCAGGUGUAGCGGUGAAAUGCGUAGAUAUCUGGAGGAACACCGGUGGCGAAGGCGGCGAUCC